CGUGUUCACAGUGGACCUUGAUU
rnacentral:miRNA from 12 species